CCCCGCCCCACUGCGGCGAGAGCGGCAGCGGCCCCGGAGCUGCUGAGGGGGAGCAGCCCCCGGAGGCAGCGAGGCUGGUGGCGAAUAGGGUUUAUGGCGAUGGGAAGGACUGAAAGUUGGUGUCGCAGCCUCAGCUGCAUGCGAGAGGAGGGAUACAAAGGACCCCGGGCUGCCCGUCCUGAGGCUCGCUCCGACGCCGUGCAAAUCGCUUGGGACAGAGAAUCACUAUGGAGAGCUGCGUAUUGAUGAUUAGAUUCUACCUCAGAGUGUCCAAAAGGGAAGGUUUCGGAAGUAUCCAAAAGGAUCCUCACACUGCAGUGUGCUGUUAGGAAAACUGACUUCUAGGGAAAAAAAACCCACAAAAAACCAGACCAAUAAAAUCUAAUCAGUCCUAUUUAUAAACA
rnacentral:lncRNA from 1 species